UGAGCGGUUAUCUACUGGAGUGGCUUUAAAUGUUUCCCGGGGAUUACUGCAGUAUAAAACACCAGGAGAUAUUUGUUCAUCGGUUGUUCGGACGUCAACGACAGGAUACCCGGAAAGCACGCAUUGGGCUAUCGCUAAGCUCUUUGUCAUGUCAUCGAUACUUGAAAACUCCGCGACAAGCUGUCAGAUUCCCCGCUUGUGAUUGGCUAGUGCAGUGCAGAUGGCGAGAUGAAUAAAUCUACUUGUGAGCUCCUAUCGAGGCAGCUAUUGUGUUGUUGCCGCACGUAUUUUAUUCUGAGCUACUUUGUCCUGCCAAAGAACCCGGGAAAUCAGGCUGGAACUGAUCACCCCUAGAGCGAUAUAUUUGAUGAACGGAACAGUUAAUCUCUUCACUCUGCAAGGAAUAAUUACAUUUUUGUGUUUCGUGGUAGAUUUGAUGUUUGAGCGAAUUUUUUUUUGUCUAAUGCUGUAAGUCAAAUGCUAAUUACGUUGGCGAUUAGACCGGAAUUUACUUUUCCAGUCCACAACAACAAACCUCGAGAGAGCAAGAAAACUAGAAUAUUCAAGUACCAAGCAGGUGAUUGAUUGAUUCUUUGGCAUGGAUAGCCUAACUGCAGCCAUUCUAUCUUCUAUUGCAUUUGCCAUACUUUUCUUAGCUUGGUGUAUAGCCUUAUGGUACUGCCACGGACCAUGUGAUCAAAUCAAUAAACAACGGGACCCAGAACAUGGCAGUAAUGACCAGGAAGACAUGCAUGAGCUACAGUGGCCUGAACUCCCUCGCAAGACUGUGAUUUCUUAGAUGCAUUAGGUUUAUCAAUUUGAUGAGUGAUAAAUAAGUGAUCAGCUAUAGGCUUGAGCUGUCUAACAAGACUGCAAUUUAUCAUAAACAUUUAGCCUGUUUCUCGAAUCUAUGCAAGAGAGUAUACCACUCCUUUUUUUCUCCCAAGAGGCCAGUGCAUGAGAAGAAUCACAUGAGAAUUGUUAUCAUAAAAAAAAAUACAGGCCCAUAGCCAGGGUUUUGGAUUUUUUUCGGGGAGGGUAAAGAUCGGUCUCUUCACCCAUUUGUAGACCUCUUUAUCCUGGAUAUCUAUACAUCUUGGUCCUUUAUUGAAAAAUCUAUAGAUUUGCUCUGUGCAACCCCUUUCCCCCCUCCUGGAAAUCCUGGCUACCUGGAUGAAAAGUAACUCAGCAAAAUUCCUAUGACAUAGACUCAUUGUGAUCAAGGCAAUAUUCUCAAUAAUAAUAGUGAGCUCUUUACAGAAUUAUGACUAGAUCAUUCUGCUUAAUCAUGUAUGGCAAAUGACAUACCUAUGGAUGGCUGUUGUUUUCAUAGUGUGGUGGGAACAGUAGCAGUAAACAGAGAUUUUGCAAUACUGUUAAAUAUGUUUGCUACUAAUGCCUGUACUAGGUUUAUAUGCACAUUGGGGUAAACCUGUAGAGUCUUGGUGAUAAUUUGGAGUCAUAGUAAAGACAAAUCAGUUAUGAUCGGUAGUGGUCACCUCAAAGGAUCCAAAAACAAGUAUAUCUGGCCUACAUGGGGGUGACAACACAUGUUGGUUACAGCAGACUUUCAAAGUUGACAAAUUUACCAUGUUCGCAUAACUUUAUUACAAUGUCUCAAUAUGUGAUGUAGCCUGAAGUAAACCUGUGAUUCAAUCAUA